AUGCAAAAUAUCGAGAUCAUCCGGUUUUAAAAAGGAAUAGUUUGCACCAUGGCUCAUGCUUAUUUAUCAUGUUACAGGAUAAGAUAUGCCACGUGUCAUAGAAUCCAAUGGUUGUCAACAUUGUUUGACCUUUACUUUGCAGACCAAACAUUCAACACAGU